rnacentral:rRNA from 1 species
UAGGGAAUCUUCGGCAAUGGGGGGAACCCUGACCGAGCAACGCCGCGUGAGUGAAGAAGGUUUUCGGAUCGUAAAACUCUGUUGUUAGAGAAGAACAGCGCAUAGAGUAACUGUUAUGCGUGUGACGGUAUCUAACCAGAAAGCCACGGCUAACUACGUGCCAGCAGCCGCGGUAAUACGUAGGUGGCAAGCGUUGUCCGGAUUUAUUGGGCGUAAAGCGAGCGCAGGCGGUCAAUUAAGUCUGAUGUGAAAGCCCCCGGCCCAACCGGGGAGGGUCAUUGGAAACUGGUUGACUUGAGUGCAGAAGAGGAGAGUGGAAUUCCAUGUGUAGCGGUGAAAUGCGUAGAUAUAUGGAGGAACACCAGUGGCGAAGGCGACUCUCUGGUCUGUAACUGACGCUGAGGCUCGAAAGCGUGGGUAGCAAACAGG